rnacentral:lncRNA from 1 species
AAAUUAAAACCAAACUUAUAUAUACAAAUAUUACAAAUUGUGCCAGGCAUCAAAGGCUUAACAACAAAAUACAUAACUUCACAAACAACAAUUAUACGGCCAACGGCUAUCUAACACCUACAAUCUAAAGGGAGCUAUCUCGCCAAGCUCAGGUCUUCAACCGCCAAUAACGAACCCCACCCGUAUGUCCUCCACUUGCGGUGAUUAAUCUACAAGGAUGGAAUCAAACAUAAUGAGCUAAAAAACCCAGUAAGUAGAUAAAACAUUAUGCUUCCUAGCCUUUAAAUAUCAUUUUACAACAAUGUACAAGGUUUUAUACCGUUCUUAUAAAACAUGAGUCAUGUGCCAUAAUCAUAUUCAUCAGUGUGUUGUGCAUGGUUCGUAGUGAAGUGAUAACAAAUCAAAUCAAUCAUAUAUGAUAUGAUGCGGGGGUCAAUCAAAUCAUGCAACUAUGCAAAUCUUGGCAAUUAACAUACUAAGGUGAAUAACAACCAUUACCACUAACUCACGGCCUAAUUUGCUUACUCCCAAAGUAGAAACUCUAUUCAUCAAGCCAAGCCAAUCCCAUUGCUUAGGACUUCCACCAUUACUCAGGAGGGAAAACAAUGACAAGUGGGUGACCCACUUGGUAACGCUUUCAUACGCACACACUGUCCCCAGCGUGCUUUGGAGUUUUCAAUAGGAGAUGGCCUUGCAAGACACUACUCCCUACGCCACCUUGCUAGGAGCGUUACACCGUCAGGGUGCUAAUCACUAUGAAUGGGGGAGCGACCACCUAAACAUCAUCUACUCUGACUCUCGUCCUAUCAUUGGGCGAGCCGGAAAGGUCAUAAGUAGGCAAUGCAAUACACUCAAAGCAUGUCAUUGGAUCACAGAUCACUUAUCACCUCAUGGCCAUGCAAUACGCUCAAAGCAUGCCAAUCAGUCACAUAUCACGAUAUGGCAAUACAAUAACCUCAUAGCAUGCCUAUUAGUCAUAUAUCACAGUAUGGCCAUGAAAUACGCUCAGAGCAAGCCAAUCAGUCACAUAUCAUAGUAUGGCUAUGCAAUACGCUCAAUGCAUGCAAAUCAGUCACAUCUCAUUGUAUGGUCGUGCAAUACGCUCAAAGCACGCCAAUGAAUCAGAGUUACAUAUCAUAUCAUUGUCAUGCAAUACUCUCAAAGCAUGCUAAUGAAUCAGAAUCACAUAUUAUAUCAUGGUCAUACAAUACGCUCAAAGCAUGUCAUUAAGUAAGAAUCGUAUAUCACAUAGCUGACCACAUAGGUCAAAUCACAUAUCACAUGUCACAAUGGAACAUGUAUCAUAAUAUGUACACAUAUAAUAACAGAGCAUGUCUCAAAAUCAUGUUCAUUCAUUUUCACAUAAGCAUGUCUUUUUACAACCAUGCACAUUUAACAUUUCAUAAGCAUUCACUAUUUCAUGGGUAUGUCUUAUUGCAACCAUGCAUUGUCAAUAAUUCAUAAGCAAUCUUAUCAGAGCACAAUACGGCCAUGCAAUACGCCCAAAGCAUGCCGAUGAAUCACAUAUCACUUAGCACCUAUCACAAGGUUGACCAUACAUGUCACAUAUCACUUAGCAGCUAUCACAAGGGUUGACCACAUAGGUUACACAUCACUUAACACUUAUCACAUGCUUGACCACACAGGUCACCUAUCACGUAGCACUUAUCACAUCAUAACAUACUACAAAUGGAUGAUCCAUCACAUUUGUAGUUUGCUUUAUUUGAGGCGGGCACAUUCAAUAUUUCAUAAGCAUUCACUAAUUCAUUAGCAUUCACUCUUUCAUAAGCAUUCAUAUCUUUCAUAAGCAUGCCUCAUAAGCAUUCAUUGUCUUACAAGCAAUAGCAUUCACUUACUUCAUGGGCAUAUUCCAUUUUAAAUCAUAGUAUGCCUUAUUACAAUCAUACUUAUACUUAGUCAAUUAUUCACUAAUUCAUAAGUAUCCACCAUUUCAUUCGCUUAUCUUGUUGCAACCAUGCAUAAUAAUUCAUGAAAGAAUCGAAAGUUCAUGGUGUCAGUUCCCUAGGAAAGCAUGUAUGAUUUCCCGUCCACAAAGAAUUUAGUCAUGGUUCCAAAACCAACUCCAAGCUAGGUUCACUGAUCUUUCAUUUAGAACUGGUUUGGGCUAAAUCGGGGGUAUUUAUUCAACCAACAGAUCAUUACAAACAUGUGCAAGGUUCUGGACUUUCCAACAAUUAUAAUAGCGACACACUCUUAGAAAAAAAGGUUGUAAUUCCCGAUUCAUAAGGAAUUUCGAUCUGACACUAGAAUUAUUGUUGAUGUAUACAAAACUAUAUUUAUUUUAAAAUUAAUUUGAGAUAAUUUGGACACUAUUUAGUUAGUAAACAGUUCAGUACAAGACAUGCAACAGUUCUGGAAAUUUACUACAACUCACAACAAUGACAUACUCACAUACACAGGGCAUAAUUCUCAAAACAUAAAGAAUUUCAACAUGGUUCUGAAACAGUUUUUGAAGUAAGCACACCAAUAUUUCAUUUAAAAGUCAUUUGAGAUUAUUUAGACACUAUUUAGUUAGUAAACAAUUUAGUACAAAACAUGCAACAGUUUUGAAAUUUCACUGCCACUCAACAUAGUGGCAUAUUCACACAAAUGGGGGCAUAAUUCCCAAACCAUAAGGGAUUUUGGCUAAGUCCGAUAUCAUUUUUGAAGUAGAAUUACCCAUAUUUCAUUUAAAACUAGUUUGGCCUCAUUUGGACAUGAUUUGGUUGAUGAAACGUUCACCAAAAAAACAUGCACAGUUCUUGGAAUUUCAUUUCCAAUUUCUUGACAUACUUCAAAGAAUGAACUAUAACUUCCAAAUCAAAAUAGGCAUUAAUACAAGGCAUUUUUCAUAUUAAACUACAUUAAUAAGGGUGCAUUUCAAUUAAUUUUAAUAAUCAUCAGAAAUAUAUUCAAUGCUCAAUCUAUCAUGCAAAAUUCUGGAAAAUCAGGGCUCCUUCUAGCAUAACUUUCAUGCUAUUCUAAGUUGUAUCAAUAAUCAAGCUUAAAUUUCUUGAUUUGUAUAUUCAUACUCAUAUUUACAGUCACACACACGUAAUUUUUCUUGAAUUUCAUACUUGAAUGAACUAACCAAAAACAUGUAUCAAAAAGCAUAGAAGCAUGGAAAAUGAAUCUGCUUACAUGCACCAAAGUUGUUCCCUGUGAAAGGCAAGGAAGCUACCAUCGCUCUUGAGGUUCACCGCAAGUUAACCCCUUGUGCUCCUUCACUACCCGGAGCCUCCACACCUGGAGGGUCCCCACAGAGGCGAAGGUCCUAAGGUCUUCACCCCUCGCACACACUCAAAGGCUCAUGGUCUAUCCACUCGAGCCACACCUCGGGGCAACCCUCAUGUUGCCUUGAGCUCGCAUCCAGGGCCAGGCAUUCUUGGGCCAAACCUUACAUGCACCAUGCAUUCGCUUUCCACAGCUUGGAGCAAGGCUAGCUCUAUGCCACCUCGAGCACAGGAGGGUCGACCGUUCCGUCUUCCCUCCCAGCACACACUGCCUCACCUUGUGAGCGACAAGCCCCCGCCUUGUCCAUCACAAACACAAGCUCGUAGGUCUUGGACUCCUCAGGUCUAACCCAUUGAAAGAGCCAGGGCUGACCCCCAAGUCACCCGGACGGCUAACCCUAAAGGUGCACACGCACCAUCUUUUCAGGUCCCUCUCGGAUCCAAACUCAGGCAGAGUCACGAACCAGCUUCUUCCUUUGUCGCUUCCCCGAUGCCAGGCAAGCACCUCAAGCCCUGGUACUCAAAGGUCUUCCCUAAGAGUACCAUCUUGAGCCAACCCCGGGUCAACCGAACACCGGGGCCUCACAAAGGAAUUUGAGGCAAUGACUUGAUGUCAAGCAGAGGCCUCCAGCCUCCAAGACAAGAACCCAAGCUGCUCUCCAUCCUUGGGCCCCACUCCCUGCUCCAGCUCAUAGACAUGGCCCUCACCAGUUCGAAGAAAACAGGGCAGUCUAGGUCUCAGGCUCGGUUCUGGAAUGAGGUUCACAGCCACCUCAAGAUCAAGCAGAAAAAAGGCCUGUAGAUCUUGACCGGGUCUCCAAGGCAGUUGAGGUCACCACCCCUGACGACCUCCUGCCUUGUAAUCCCUUCUUCCCUCUUCAAACUUUGGAACCUGAGCAAGUCCAGGAAUACUGUUCGGUGACCACCACCUAGAAGUCACAGAAGACUGUCAAGAAUUGGUCCUGUGUGAGGAUCAACAUACAAAUCUCGAGUCCAGUCGGGGCAAGCUGAGCCCCUCCAGACUGACUUGCCAUGCAUGACUCGCUAGCCUCGGUAGUCUGCUGCAUCCCUUGACUCUGACCUCCCAGAAGAAAUGAUCAGUGUCAUGGUGAUCAAUGACCCGAACGACUCUCAGGAGGAGAUUUUGAACAAGUUCGAGGAAAUGAUGCAAGCCAUCCUCGGAAAGAUGGAGCGCCUAGAGGCCUCCAGGUUCCCUUCUUCGUUUGAUUUCCCGACUGGUGAGGACACAGCUCCUAGGCAGACUCCCCCUCUGGUCUCCCAAGACAGCGUCUCUUCUCGUAGGGUCUUCCAAAUCGACAUAUAUGCUAUGGUGGUCCAUAGACUUAAUCACAAGGUCUCGGGCAUGCAGGAGACGCCACUAUACCAAAAUUCGUAUCCUUCAUACAUUGACCAGGUACCAUUUCC